AAACGGGGUUCUUGAAAGACUAUGGAACGGUAUUCCUUAGUGGCAAUAAUUGCCAUCUCGUCCAUCAGUGUGCGCCAUUCUGGCUUUGGUGAGACUGGGGGAUGCAUUCCAUGCUCCAGUGUGGCUGCUGUAAAACGCUGAAGAGUUCUGAAACACAAGUGUUCUUCCCCAAAAGACUGCUCAAUAACUUCACCUUGAACUGUCACACGAAGUGAUCCAUGGAUGGUGUCAGGUGGUUGAGAUAAGAUAGGCAAGAUGAGUGGGUCCUCCUCCUCUUCCAACUGUCCCUCCUCGGCCAUGGAACAUUGUUAGCUUUACCCCAUACUUCUUUGCCACCUUCACAAGCUCUUCUUGAGCUUUAUAUAACUGCCAAGCAGCAGAGAGACGCCCAGCAUCCUUUCCAGAAUCCGAGUACCCUAUCAUGACUUCUUGCUUCCCGUUGAUUCGGUUUCUGUACCAAUCUAUUGAGAAAAGACGAGAAACAGCAGCAGGAGCAGCUUCAAGAUCAGCAAGCUUCUCAAACAAUGGAACAACCCUCAAUGGCUGCUUGACAUGACAUUCACGCUGUAAAAGCUCAACAGCAAGUACAUCAGAUGGUGCUGUAGCCAUUGAAAUUAUAUAGGCACCAAAGUUGUCUGCAGGAAGUUCCGC
rnacentral:misc_RNA from 1 species